UGCAGAGGGUGCGAGCGUUGUCCGGAAUCACUGGGCGUAAAGGGCGCGUAGGCGGUUUUGUAAGUCGGGGGUGAAAUGCUGCGGCUCAACCGCAGCGCUGCCUUCGAGACUGCAAGACUGGAGCACGGUAGAGGCGGAUGGAAUUCCCGGUGUAGCGGUGGAAUGCGUAGAGAUCGGGAAGAACACCAAUGGCGAAGGCAGUCCGCUGGGCCGUUGCUGACGCUGAGGCGCGACAGCGUGGGGAGCAAACAGG
rnacentral:rRNA from 1 species